GUUCUAAAACUGAAAGACUGCUACUAUAUGCCGAAGAUAAUUAAAAAUAUAAUAUUUGUACUUUUGUUAUUAAGACAAAAUUUUGAAAUAAAUGUAAAGGGCAAUAGUUGCUCUAUUAUUCAUUCUAAUAAAAUCUUUAGCAUUGGUUUUAUUGAAAAUGAUCUUCUACUUUUGUCACUUAAUGAUGAAAUUUUUCAUAUUAAUAUGAAUAUG
rnacentral:lncRNA from 1 species